UUCCGCGGUGAGACUUGCAAUUCUAGCUUUGAAGAUGGAAGUAGAAUGGGUUUCACUGUUUCAGAAACUAUCUUUUUAAUCUAUUGCCGUGAUUUGCAUGAUAUCUAAAGCCAAAAUGGCCUUUUCUUCGCAACAAUGGAACCUCAGGAUGGAGGGUUUUCAACUGUUUCUUUCCACCUAUUUUAUAACUGUUUACUGUGUAAUAUUAUUAUUACAUUCUGUAAGAAAACCAUUAAACUCUAUGCGUCUAUCUUUUCCAUCUUAGAUAAAUAUUCACAUGCUUCGAUCUUCCUAUGUUCAUUUGUUUCAAUGAACUGAAACUUGACUGAUGUGAAUUUUUUGCCUCCUUGCACAAGCAUGUGUAUUGCCAACAUUGUUUGAUAAUUGAUUUAUCUAAGUUGUUUAUUUGCAGUCAUAACCAUUGCAGACAAUAAAUUGUAGUCAGAAUUUUCUUUUGAAAAAAAAAACACACUAAUUGUUAGAUUAAAUAAGAUAUUAUUUUAAAAACUCCUUCUGAGGCCUUAAACUACCACAAGGAAUCAUGGGCAGCGAUCUCCCUACCACCUAUCAAAAAGAACUCACUCAAUGGUUAAUCUGAUAGGCCAAGGUCUACUUUUUUCAUUUUUUCCCUGUUUCUGAUAGUUGUGCAGGAGCCAGGAGGAAGAGAGAAUAGAAUUAUAGAAAUUAUUUAUUUCAUUUUAUGGUGAAUGAAGAGAUAACCUAUUUUUAGUGUUAC
rnacentral:lncRNA from 1 species